AACUCUCAACCCCCUCAUUUUGUAAUGAAGUGUAGCGUGGGCUUGGAUUAUGGCUGUCUGUCGGCUUAACUGCCGGCUCAGCUGAAAUACACGAGCAACCCAGUUUAAAACCCUGACGGCUUGACUCGGCGUAAUAAUUAUUUCGCUGAGGACGUCUAACCUUUAAAUCGUUAGUGGUGCUUCUAAUGCAUUAUUCAUUUAAGC
rnacentral:misc_RNA from 1 species